AUUGAACGCUGGCGGCAGGCCUAACACAUGCAAGUCGAGCGAGCGGCGGACGGGUGAGUAAUGUCUGGGAAACUGUCUGAUGGAGGGGGAUAACUACCGGAAACGGUAGCUAAUACCGCAUACCAUCAGAUGUGCUCAGGUGGGAUUAGCUAGUAGGUGGGGUAACGGCUCACCUAGGCGAUGUUCCCUAGCUGGUCUGAGAGGAUGACCAGCCACACUGGAACCGAGACACGGUCCAGACUCCUACGGGUGGCAGCAGUGGGUACUAUUGCACAAUGGGCGCAAGCCUGAUGCAGCCAUGCCGCGUGUGUGAAGAAGGCCUUCGGGUUGUAAAGCACUUUCGGCGGGGAGGCGUUACCCGCAGAAAAAGCACCGGCUAACACCGUGCCAGCCGCCGCGGUAAUUC
rnacentral:rRNA from 1 species